AUUAAACCAAUUAGAAGAGCAAAUAAAGAAGCUAGAAAUAGAUUAAGUAAGCAAACAGCAUUGGGUAGAAAAUUCUGAUAGGGAACUGGAGCAGAAAAAGAGUAAUGGAGUGAGGUGCUUGUGAAUUCUGUGCUGCUAGGAUACUCUAAGAAAAUGUCCAGUACACAGAUAUUUCUCAUUUUAUUCUGCUCAUGUGCUUUGGGACAUGAAAAAUGAUCCUGACAGAGGCAAGGUUACUCAUCUAUAUGCUUGACUGGGCAAUGAAUCAUGGCAAGCCAAUGUAUGAAAGAAAUUAUCAAAUGCCUUAAUGAUCCAGAGAUCAAGAAGGUAAUCUGCUUAAGCCCCCUCUGUGCUGCCAGAGAUGAUCCUCACCAGAAUUGGAACAACAUGGUACAAGUGCCUCAGCAAUUUUGAGUUGCAGGUGCCAUUUUGUUGGUGACCAGAUCCAAAAUGCAAAAUAAUUUCAACUGUGCUAGGAAGGGCUAGGAUGACGAACAAAGCAGAAGGCAACUUAUAGAUCAGCCAGAACAAGUCAUAAACAGCAAAAAAGAACUAUUACA